GGUAAGAAAACACAGACACUUAAAGACAAAGCUUACUUUUAUAUUCAGCAGUACUACAAUCCCAUUGCUAGAUGGCAACAUCUGACAAACCAAACCCAGCAGCACAUUGUGGAGAAAGCUAGUCCUGCAGCAGAGCUUAAUGAUAGUCUUUGAUGCUUAGACAGGUUUAUGUGCAGAAUGAGUGGAUUAUUUAUGAGCAGUGGGAUUAUAACUUGAAGUGAGUUCAUAUGAGAGGCAGCAAGUUAUGAGAAAGAGUCUGUGAGGGCAGAGGUCAGAUGAGGACAAGAGAAUCAGAAAUAACAGAAAGUCUUAAAAUCCAACAUUAUAUUUUAAUUUUUAUAUCAACGUUGCAGGAAGAGAAGGACGCACAGCUAUUCCAGCUGAUUUGGCUGGAGUAGGUUUCCAGAUGAACGUGUGGCGGAUGAAUAAUUGCAUCUGGAUUACUUGGGGAAGUUAUUUGUAUAUGAGUGUAAACAUGAGCAUAAUUUAAAUUACUUUUAAAAUGGAUUUAUUAAGAAUGUGAUUAAGUAUAAAUAACUUCAGAAAAUAUGUGAUAAUAGAUGUGACACAAAUAUACAUGAUUUUGAUUAGACGGCCUACAGUGACGUAGUGGUUAAAGACACAGAGCCCACAGACUACACACCACUAGCUCUUUGUUUCUGAGGUCAUGAUGAGUUUCACUUUCCAAAGAAAACCUUAGUUCCCUUUUUUUGCCUGGUUACUGUUAAGAUGCAGCCAGCUUUGAAUUCCUAUUGGUCAGAGAGGAGCUACUGCGCAUGCGGCAGUUUCAUUUUCACUGUGGCGGAGUCUAAACAAUAAAGACAUAUUUUUUUUC